rnacentral:rRNA from 1 species
UACAGAGGGUGCGAGCGUUGUUCGGAAUUAUUGGGCGUAAAGGGCGCGUAGGCGGUGCGGUAAGUCACCUGUGAAAUCUCCUGGCUUAACUGGGAGCCUGCAGGCGAAACUACCGUGCUGGAGUGUGGGAGAGGUGCGUGGAAUUCCCGGUGUAGCGGUGAAAUGCGUAGAUAUCGGGGAGGAACACCUGUGGCGAAAGCGGCGCACUGGACCAUAACUGACGCUGAGGCGCGAAAGCUAGGGGGAGCAAACAGG